rnacentral:ncRNA from 2 species
GGAAGCCGGUGCAAAUCCGACGCGGUCGCGCCACUGUCAACGGCAUGGGAUCUGCCCUUGCCGCGAGCCAGAC